rnacentral:misc_RNA from 1 species
GAAAUGCGAUAAGUAGUGUGAACUGCAGAAUUCAGUGAAUCAUCGAAUCUUUGAACGCACAUUGCGCCCCUUGGUAUUCCAUGGGGCAUGCCUGUUCGAGCGUCAUUUGUACCCUCAAGCUCUGCUUGGUGUUGGGUGUUUGUCCCGUCUCCGCGCGUGGACUCGCCCCAAAGUGAUUGGCAGCCGGCGUACUGGUCCCGGAGCGCAGCACAUGUCGCGCAAACGAGUGCCUUGGUACGGCGGCGUCCAUAAGCCCCUCUCUCACGCUCUUGACCUCGGAUCAGGUAGGGAUACCCGCUGAACUUAAGC